GCACGAGAACAGUUCGGGAAAAGGGCAUCACCGGAAGCGGAAAUAGAAGUCACGGGUCAGGAGGGCCAAGAAGCAGUGCGUGCGCCUUUCUCCGCUUCGGGCCUCGAUUCGUCGCAGGGAGAGGGAGGAGCAGACCCUAGGCACGCCGUGAUAGGACGUUGCCAAGCAAAAGUAAAUGAUGCCCGAGUCCGCAAGAGGAAAGGGGGAGUAGUGAUCAUUCCUACUCAGGCAGAAGCACUUGAUCCCAGAGUCACCAAAGGCUAUUAAGCUAGGGAGAGGCAGGAGUAAAGGAGCAACGUCGAGUCUGAUGAAGGGAGAAGACUUGGAAGGUAGAAUAUCGGUGCUGGAAUAGAGAAGCCCCUAAGCCAAGCUUUCUCGUUUUACAGCUAGCAUUUCUAAUGGAAUAGUGAAUAACAGUGGUGAUGAUGGACAUCCAUUUUUCACCCCUGAGCUGAUUGGAAAGGCUUCUAGUUUAUAUUCAUUACAGGAUUUUUUCUCUCUCAUCUUCUGAUUUUCCCACCAGGAAUAGGGAAGAAUAUAAGCACCAGCUUCCAGGUCAUGUGACCAACAAGACAGCCAACUAGACAUUUUCUCCAUUCUUCACUAAAUCUCACAAAGUGGGGUGGAGUUUGGGAGUGAGGUUCUGGAAUUUUGUGUCUGAGAUAAAACAAUUACACUGAAUCCACAGGACAAGAGAGCAAGAAGCCCAACAAAGGCUUGGGAAUGAAUACUAGAAAAUUCUAAUCCUUGAAGUGCUCAGAUAAGAAUAUAAUUCAAGAAAACUGUUCACAUCUUCUGAAUACAGAAAAUAAAGCAACUGAAAGAAUCUAUAGAGCUUCUUCAGAAGAAGAAAACAAAAACCCCUCUAUUCUUCAAACUACAGGACAUUAUGGUCAAAUUUGGCAAGCUCUGGGGCAAUGGAUAGAGAGCCAGGCCUGGAGAUGGGAGGUCCUGGGUUCAAAUGUGUCCUCUGACACUUCCUACUCAUAUGACCCUAGGCAAGUCACUUAACCCCAAUUUGCUUAGGUCUUAGGCCUCCUCUGCCUUGGAAUGGAUACUUACUAUCAAUACUCAGACAGAAGAUAAGGUUGUUUUUGUUUUUUAAUUUAACAAGCCCAACCACAAAUUCUACAAGCAUCUAGGAGAAAGACCUUAAAAUAUAAAAAGGAAAUUUUCAGAAUACAAAAUGAUUCUGCAUCCAUUAGAAAUUGCAGAGGAAAUAGAAAAAUAUAUUUUGAAAAUAAAAAGAUUUCAAGAUGCAGCCCAGAAUGAUGUGCACAGCAACCUGAACCCAAUCAGCAAUGAAAUAAAGGAUGGAUAAUUAAAAGAAAAAUAAUAUCGACAUUUGAAGCAUUGCUGCAAAAAAAUUUAAUUUAGCUCCAAAUGCAUUGCUGCUUAAAAAAAUACAUCAAGUUCAAAAGAAUGUGUGAAGGAAAUUAUAAGACUUCUGACUCUGGGAAUGAUAAACAGAAGUUGACAACUUUAGUUUAAAAAAAUUAUUUUAGAAAGUCUAGAUCACCACAGCUAUUCAUUGAAUUUGGCACCACCACACAUAUAUACAUACUAAGUUUAUGAAAUUUCUAAUUAUAAAGUAAUUGCUGAUUACUUACAUCCCAAAAAGGAAUUUCAGCAUAAGAUUAUUACAUAAAUGUUUAUGACUUUGAAUCUAAAUCUAAAUCCUGCUUCCAGGUAAAAAGAUAACUGAGAAAAAAAACAUAGGCACAAUUCUAUUACUGUGAAUUUUUGGCACAAAUUAUAAUGGGAGGGAAAUUAAGCCUUUAUAUGAUUCUAACUAGAGCAGCAGUUCUCAACCUCUGGGUCACGACCCCAGUGGGGGUCAAAUGACCAAAACACAGGGGUUGCCUAAAGCCAUAGGAAAAUACAUAUUUCCGAUGGCUUUAGCCACUGAGAAAUCCCGCUACUUUACAGCAAGAUCUCGGAAAGAAUGGGGACCCUGCUGCCUGCACGUUGUACUAAUAUUAGUUACUUAUCAGCAGCCCUCCCCCUGUGAGGGGCAAUGGAUUUACCCUUUUGCCUGGAGACCCAGAGAUAGCUGGCUCCUGAGGGGUUAAGAACAAGUCCUGGAGGGGAUAACCCAGCAAAGUGAAGCCUCAGCUCGAACUGGAGGGAGAUGACAGGAAGAAAAAGGCAGCAUCUGCGACCCAUAACCCAGGCAGGACUUACCUCCCAUCCCAGCACUCAGGCUGCCUCCUGCUGGAUUAAUAUUUCUCAACAUAUAAUUAAAUAUUGUUUUUGUGAUUCAUCA